rnacentral:rRNA from 1 species
CAGUAGCCGCGGUAAUACGAAGGGGGCUAGCGUUGUUCGGAUUUACUGGGCGUAAAGGGCGCGUAGGCGGGCGAAUAAGUCAGGGGUGAAAUCCCAAGGCUCAACCUUGGAACUGCCUUUGAUACUGUUUGUCUUGAGUUCGAGAGAGGUAAGUGGAACUGCGAGUGUAGAGGUGAAAUUCGUAGAUAUUCGCAAGAACACCAGUGGCGAAGGCGGCUUACUGGCUCGAAACUGACGCUGAGGCGCGAAAGCGUGGGGAGCAAACAGGAUUAGAGACCCCAGUAGUCCCUGUCUCUUAUAC